UAUUAUUUGAUAUUUCGUUAGAUGUCAAUCGUAUGACAUAUGUAUUUUCGAAAAAUAUAAUUUUGUGACGAAAACAAACUUAACAAAGGUUUUCUUAAAAUGUUGUUCUAGUAAUCCACAUUUGUAACUCCGAACUUCGGGUUUAGAAUAGAUAAGAAUACUUUGGCUCUACUCACCACCGUACUGAAAACUAGUCUUCUCAAUGGCAGAUCCUCCUGCCCCUAGGGUUCAUCAACCCCCUCCUGAGCCCAGGUCACGUCAAGCCCCUCCUGAGCUUAGGCCUCGCCAGGCCCCACCAGAACCCAAAAAUGCUAAUGCCUUGCCUCCACCCCAGCCUAGAGAACGGCACCCGCCACCCCAGCCUCGAGAACGGCAUCAACCACCCCAACCACGCGAAAGGCACACUCCACCUCAACCAAGAGUAAGGCAACCCCCAAACACAUAACACUGACAUUUUUAUUUACAAUUUCUAUUCCACUCAAUCAUGCAUCAGUUUUGUAAUAUUCAAUUUAAAAUAUCAUAACACAUUUAGGGCAAAUAAUACUAGUUUAAAUGGGUUAUGAAACAUUAGGGGACUCCUUUACAUUAAUGUUUUGUUCUUAUCUAGGUAAAUAUAAUAGGUUAUUUGAGACAAAGUAUUAAUUGUGGGGCUAAAUUUAUUUAUGUGUGGACAAACGAUAAUUCUGAAAAAUAUCAACCAUAUGUUUAAGUGAGAAAUAUAUGUGUUAUGUCUUCUGUUAGAAUCCAUUGGAUUUUGGAUGGGUGAAUAUAGUUAGUUGGGAUUAAGAUUUCCUAAUUUGUGUUACAUAUAUUCAUAUUUCUUAAGUUGUUAAAAGAUUAACAUAGUUUAUAGUACUACUUUACACUUAAUGUACGGAUUCAGUAAUAUAUGUUUUGAAUAUGAGAGCGGUUGCUACUUAGUGCUAUGUCUGAACUCUGUAUUGUAUCCUUUAAAAUGAUAGAGAAUGGAAUUUU